GAUGAACGCUGGCGGCGUGCUUAACACAUGCAAGUCGAACGGAAAGGCCAGUGCUUUCACUGGUGCUCGAGUGGCGAACGGGUGAGUAACACGUGGGUGAUCUGCCCUGCACUUUGGGAUAAGCCUGGGAAACUGGGUCUAAUACCAGAUAGGACCAUGCUUUGGAUGGUGUGGUGGAGAGUUUUUUCGGUGUGGGGUGAGCUUGCGGCCUAUCAGCUUGUUGGUGGGGGAAUGGCCUACCAAGGCGUCGACGGGUGUCCGGGCUGGGAGGGUGUACGGCCAAAUUGGGACUGGGGUAAGGCCCAGACCCCCAAGGGGGGCCACAGUGGGGAAUAUUGCAAAAUGGGCGCAAGGCUGGUGGAGGGAAGCCGCGUGGGGGAAGACGGCCUUCGGGUUGUAAAACCGUUUCGCAACUGAACAAGCUUUUUGUGACGGUAGGUUGAGAAGAAGCACCGGCUAACUACGUG
rnacentral:rRNA from 1 species